AUUGAACGCUGGCGGCAUGCCUUACACAUGCAAGUCGAACGGUAACGCGGGGCAACCUGGCGACGAGUGGCGAACGGGUGAGUAAUGCAUCGGAACGUGCCCAGUAGUGGGGGAUAGCCCGGCGAAAGCCGGAUUAAUACCGCAUACGACCUACGGGUGAAAGCGGGGGACCGCAAGGCCUCGCGCUAUUGGAGCGGCCGAUGUCAGAUUAGGUUGUUGGUGAGGUAAAGGCUCACCAAGCCGACGAUCUGUAGCUGGUCUGAGAGGACGACCAGCCACACUGGGACUGAGACACGGCCCAGACUCCUACGGGAGGCAGCAGUGGGGAAUUUUGGACAAUGGGCGCAAGCCUGAUCCAGCCAUGCCGCGUGCGGGAAGAAGGCCUUCGGGUUGUAAACCGCUUUUGUCGGGGAAGAAAUCUUCUGGGCUAAUACCCCGGGAGGAUGACGGUACCCGAAGAAUAAGCACCGGCUAACUACGUGCCAGCCGCCGCAGUAAGAC
rnacentral:rRNA from 1 species